UUUUGGUUUGUAAUUACUGUAUUAACUUUAGUUUUGUACUCAAUCAAACAUUUAUAACACUUGUGGGAUCUCUUUAUAACCUGAAGCUGUCUGCUGUUUAAUAAUCGGAUUGAUGAAACAUUGAUUGAAGCAGGCAUUCGGCAACUUUCGCGAUAAUCAGACUACUCCACUUAUUUGUCAUAUUAUGUACUAUUGCCAGCUGUUUCUGCCAUUGGCAAAGCUCAUUUCUUCACAUUCAGUGUUUUCAUUUUAAAUUGACCUCAGUGAGUAUGAUUGAUAAUUAAGUAUUUGACGGGAGGGUGAAGGAAUAAUGAGUGUUUGUUCAGUGCGAGAAAACACUCUCAGAACAUAAGCAAAGCAUGGCAGAGCAGCCCAGCAAUAUCACCUCACGCUGAGCUGCAUAAUAAAGAGCUGCAUGCAUAUUAAUAUCAGCUCUCUGCAUAAUGUCUACAUCUUAUGACAGGCUCAGAAAUACCCUGACACCUCGCUGGUGUUGCUUAACCUUUUCUACACUUAAGCAUAGCUAUUUGUGUCCACAUUCCCUCAUGAUGGGAGGGAUCUCCCCUCACCCCAGUCUCACCCAUGUGGCCCUGGAUGCCAGCCUUUUUCCCACACUUCACCAGUCUUGCAAGCUAAUGCUCCUCCUUGUUAACGCGUGGUGGAGGUGUGGGAUGCCAAACGAGUUCCUCGUUACCUCCCUCUUGCUUGGUUGGUAGAGUCUUUUGGAAGAACUACAGCGACAUCUGCAUGUGCCAUGGUUGCAAAGCGCCAGGCUCAUACCCACCUCCUUACUGGGCUUCCCCCUGCCAGCCUGCUCCCCCCGUCUGUGCUGCCCCUCCUCCUCACCUGCGGCAAUCAUUUCUCAAAUUACUAAACAUGGCUAAUUGCGGGAGGCGUGAAGCUCACUUCAUUUGAAUAUUCUGGCUUGGGGGGAUUUUUCCUCUCAUUGGGGAAGAAUUAAGUGAGGACGUCUGGAAAAAGGAAGAUCUGCAAUUAGACACACUCAGUGGUGUCAAAUUUUCUAUCAGGGAUUUGUUGUUUUUUAGGAUUUGGCUGUUAAUGUUAAACCGCACCAGGAAAGUAAAUUAGAAUGUUUUUAACCUAAACCUGAGUAAGGCUGUUAGGCCAUAUAAUUAUAGUUUUCCAUCAAUUAGAAUUUUAGUUAACUAUAAGCUAAGAGAAAGCAGAACUGAUCAACUAAUUCAAUGGUCACUCACUUUGUUUUUCUUUGUCUGUGUGUGAUUGUUAGCGACAUUGUGAGAUCUUUUGAAAAGUUAUUAAAAUGUGCGGAGUGGGGACGUAUGAUUCGCUAAUUCAUUUAACGAUCAUCACGGGACUGGUUGUAAAGCAAAAUAAGGUUUGGUUGUAGUUGUGGGGGUUAAUAUGGAGUGUGUGUUUCUGUGUGAAAAAACUUGAGGCAGUUUUUGUCGCCUUGUGUAGUAGGGAGGUGAUGUGAAGGAUGUGCAGGAGUUAGAUAAUCCUGUUCAAAAAAGGUGAUUCUAGAUAAAAGUCUCCAACAAUCUGUCUCACAUCUGGUCAUUAUCAAUUCUUCACCUUCGUUUGUGUGAUAUUUCAACCCUUACAUGAACAUGAACAAAAAUCAAACAGGGAACUGCUCACUCCAUCAAGUAUUUGUAUUCAGCGUUUUUAUCCGAUCAAUGCAGAUAUUUUAUAAAAUCUGAAAUCCCGUUCAAAGUCUAAUUUCAAUUCCAUUCACAAAUCCACAAACACCCAUUAGUUCUGUAUGAACAGACAUUCUCUGUAUGCGAGAUGACUCCUCACAAAGAUUGAAAGGUGCUCAAUUAGUCCGAGUCAAAAAAGGUUGAGCGCCCUGACUUUUUUUAAUUAAUGUCGAAUUAAACGAAUUGGCAGGUUGCCAGAAAACCAAGCACACAGCUUUGAAGAUUGCCAUCGCAUAAUGAGCCGCUUUUUUUCUUUUUACAUUUCAUGCUUUUCUGUAUCCAGUCACUCGCUCUCCGCUGCCAUUUGCCCGUAUGCCUUAGCGAUUUAAUGAUAUGCAAAUGAAAUAUGCAUAAAACCAUUCUGCUGUAGGAUGAUUAAGCACAGAGGAUAUUAGCCAGUGCCCGCCUCAGUGUCUGCUGUCUCCUCUGCAUCCCGCUUCGACCAGGCGCCAACACCACCAGUCUAAGAAAGAUCAAUGCUGCUAAUGCACUAAUCAUUAGAAUAACACAAAUAAUAUCCACUCUUGAGAGAAAUUAGAUUCCAGGAAGGUUUCUUCUCGCUCCAGUUUUGUAAGAUCCAGAAACCAGGAGAGGCAGAUGUCUUCAGACGUGAGAGUUGGUGCUCUAGAGAGUAGGCAGAGAGCAAAGAGAGCAGGUUUUCCAAGAGGGAGCAUUGAACAUAACUGGCAAUGCAGGAGCUUUUUCUCUGCUUGUUUGUGAGUACUGUGGCAUUAUUUGACUACUGGCAUAUAACGAAGGAAGAAAAAUAUCCCCGUUCUUGCUUUCCCUCUGUCUCUCUCUCUCUCUCUUUCACACACACUCACACACACACACACUCCACCCCCAUUUCGUCCUGCUCUCUCGUGCAAGCCCUCUUUUUUUUUUUGUAAUCCAUUUGUGUAAUGAAGACGCCGCACAAUUAACACUCCCCAUGGAAUAAUAUGAAAGGGUGAUUAUCCAAAGUUCAUUAGCUUUGAAAGAUUAGAAUAUCCACAAUUCCAGUGAUGAACAUAUAAAAAAUCCGACACGUGUUACAAAUUUAGUUGUUAAUCGGAUCAUUUUCAGUCGCAAUUAUCACAUUUGAGAUGCCCAAAAAGAUGCCAUCUUUCUCGCCGUCUCUCUUCAGUGGUGGUACAACCAGAAUCAAGCGCCCUGGUGGUACCAGGUCUGGGAAGCCAGCGCAAAGAUAUUAUAAUCCCUCCCUUUGGAUGACUUCCUUAAUUAUUCAUUCUGCAAAACCAUGUCUCUUGUCCAAAGAAAUCCUGGAGAAAAAAACUGAGACAAUUUUUGAUGCAAGUAGGUGGCUGGAAAGCCUUGCGUUGCUAAUUACUGUUUUAAUUCCGGCCGUGCAUAUUAACGACGAAAACGAACUUAAUUAAAGCCUCCAUUGUGUGUCUUUUCAGCGAUGCCCGUCCUUGGCUCCGUGCCCGAUGCCAGCUCACUUCGCGGGAACCGGUGAAACCAUCCUCCGGACCCAGAGAACACUCCAGACAGUAACUCAAACCAGUUGGUAAGUCUGCGUUGCGUCUAUUUAUUAUAGUUUAGCGCAGGAGGGGAUAUCCUGAAAGGGUGGAGUUUGCUCAUUUCUUUUGGAUGGUUGGCAAGAAAGGGGCAAAAAUGUCAUCGAGAUGUGGGAUGUGGGUGUGGAGGAUGUAAUGAGUUCCCACGGCCUCACUGCCCCCAGUUUGGUUGCAGGCAGGCCAGCACCUCCCCCUCAGUGUCUCUUGAACUCAGGUUUCCUCCUUGCCCAUGUGCCUUCUGUACCCACUCCACUUGGUUCUUGUUGUGCCCACGCCACUCUCUCACUUGUCUGUCAUGCUGCUGGAUACCACACUGAAACUUCAGGUUUCUUCGUCCUUUACUGCUGUCGCUUGACUCUUUGCAGACGAAGAAUUCCUGAUUGUUUUUUUUGGAUUUAAAAAUCGUCCUGUCCCAAAAAGUUGCUCCGGUUAAAGAAAACAAGCACUCUAGAGGUAAACAGGAUGUAGUGUAUUGUAGUAGAGAAUUGAAAGAGGUAAACUAAAUCCUUUCGAUCCACUGAGUAUAAUUUAAUUUGGCGGUUCAUUAGUAUGCAUCCUCAUGUUUGCUUCUUUUUUUUUUUCUUUUGUGUCUGUGACAUUGUAAACAGCUGCUGGUGAGCUUCAGGCACAGUCCCAGAAGUCCAAUCCUCCACCCCUCCUCCUCCCUCCUCCUUCUCCUGUAGACAAGCCAGGCUGUGAUUGGCAGAUUGGCAGUGUCUGUUGCAGCAGUGCCUAUGGUAGAUGUUCAAAUGUGGUGGCUGCCAGCCAACGCAAAACUAAAUGGCAGUUCACACUUGGGAAAAUAUGGGCUAAAGGGGGAAGGGAGUUGGCACAAAAAGAGGCACUCGCUUCACACCCUCCGCUAAUAGUUGAACAGUUCGCUGCUUUUGUCUCACUUCAUCUUGUUUGUUGUUGUUUCAUUCCCAUUGAGGAUUCGUUUGUAGUUAAUUCAACUCGUCUCUGUGAUUGAGAGUGGCACCCUUAUUAACGAAGCAAAUUUCGCUCUAAUUAGUCAUAACAGAUGCUGUAAUGUCUCUGUUUGUUCUUUUCUCUUUUGUUUUUUAAGCGCCCGAUUCGUAGAAGAUAUCCGGCUUUGUUGAUUUGGCUAAUUUGUAUGAUAUGUCCCUCGUCGUUCACCAGUUUUCAUGUUGAUGUGAUGCCAUCACAUUCCUGCUGACACACCACUUGAGACCAAAUAAUUGCUCCAUGGGCAUCCUCACAACCAGUGUCUUUCACCCAAGUCCAAAAUGGCAACUGAGAAGUGGAAGUGGCGUUCGAAAUCGCCCGCAUUUUCCAAGGGUACAUCCUUUACAGCGAGCGAAUGAGUUGGCAUGGCGUCUCCUGCCCAGAUGGCUGGCUGGCUGGCUGGCUGCCUGGCACUGAGAGCUGUGUCUCAGAUGGUUAGCGGGAGAGCAAGAAGGAGCGAGUGGGAGGAGCUUGAUUUUGUGCCACUGCCACCCCCCAAUCAAUGGUAGAACAACUAAACGGCCCCAAUUUCUCUUGUUUGUUUUCAAAUUUCCUCUUCUUUGAUUAACUCCGCGUGAUGCUGUCUCCUGAGAUUUCACACGUGCCUCCUAUCUCCUGGGUUCACUUCCUGUCCCACAUCCCUGUUUUGAAACUGUUGGUAAUCCACUAAUUGUCUUUCCACCAUGGUGCCACGCAGCAAAAACUGAUCAAUCCAAAAAAACACGUUCCAAACUUCAUUCGGGUGAAGGUCACAUUUUGACGUCUUCGCCCGCAAAUGUGAACUUGUUCUCCAAGGCAGAACCAGAGGAUGAUUGUGUUCCCCAAGACCGGUCUUCAUUUAAACUUUCAUUAUUUAAAAAGACAGCCCUGUCCACAAAAAAGGGAAAAAAACAAACAAAAAUAAAAAUUAAACAUUAAAACUCAAGCAUGUUUUUCUAUCAGAAAUUAGAACAAGACCUCUAUGUCUCCCAGACUUCAUCUAACCACCCACACUAAAGCACAGAGAAGUCCGCCUUGGUGCUACCACUGAAUGGAUGGCACUGUGCCAACUUCUCUCUGCCAUCAACCGCAUUCGCUCCUUGUUUCCCUUAUUUGCCCAUCCCCUUUC